rnacentral:rRNA from 1 species
GAUGAACGCUAGCGGCAGGCCUAAUACAUGCAAGUCGAACGGGAUCCAGAUCAAAGCUUGCUUUGGUCUGGUGAGAGUGGCGCACGGGUGCGUAACGCGUGAGCAACCUACCCUUGUCAGGGGGAUAGCCCGGCGAAAGUCGGAUUAAUACCGCAUGACAUCAUUGAGAGGCAUCUUUCGAUGAUCAAAGAUUUAUCGGACAAGGAUGGGCUCGCGUGACAUUAGCUAGUUGGUAAGGUAACGGCUUACCAAGGCUGCGAUGUCUAGGGGCUCUGAGAGGAGAAUCCCCCACACUGGUACGGAGACACGGACCAGACUCCUACGGGAGGCAGCAGUAAGGAAGAUUGGUCAAUGGACGGAAGUCUGAACCAGCCAUGCCGCGUGCAGGAAGACGGCCCUAUGGGUUGUAAACUGCUUUUAUACGGGAACAAACGUCGGUACGUGUACCGGUCUGAGUGUACCGUAAGAAUAAGGAUCGGCUAACUCCGUG